rnacentral:lncRNA from 1 species
UCUUUCCUACCUGGUGGCUGGAUGAGAUAUGAUGAUUUUUUUUGUAUUUUCUUUUCUUUCAGUAUUAGUACUUAUUAGAGGCUUCACAAGCUGGUGUAGUUGUCCAAAAAACUUUUUAAUUUCUAGUCUUUAUCAUGACUAUUAGUAUUGUAUAAAAUUAAGUGGUGUUAAUAAACAUUGAUGAUAAUAUUUCGCCUUUAAGAAAUCUUAUUUCAAUCUCAUAUUGUUUCAGUUAUACUCUUUCAUGUUGGUUGUAUUCUCAUGUUUUAUGAUAGAAUGUUCGCUCAUACUAACAAUAGUAUCGGGUGCGUGUCAUGUCUCG